rnacentral:rRNA from 1 species
AUUGAACGCUGGCGGCAUGCCUUACACAUGCAAGUCGAGCGGCAGCACGGGAGCAAUCCUGGUGGCGAGUGGCGAACGGGUGAGUAAUAUAUCGGAACGUGCCCGGUCGUGGGGAUAACGUAGCGAAAGCUACGCUAAUACCGCAUACGAUCUACGGAUGAAAGCGGGGGAUCGCAAGACCUCGCGCGAUUGGAGCGGCCGAUAUCAGAUUAGGUAGUUGGUGAGGUAAAGGCUCACCAAGCCGACGAUCUGUAGCUGGUCUGAGAGGACGACCAGCCACACUGGGACUGAGACACGGCCCAGACCUCCUACGGGAGGCAGCAGUGGGGAAUUUUGGACAAUGGGCGCAAGCCUGAUCCAGCAAUGCCGCGUGCAGGAUGAAGGCCUCGGUUGUAAC